rnacentral:rRNA from 1 species
AUGGGUGGAGCAGGAAAGACUACACUCGCUAGAAAAGUGUACAAUUCACCUAGAGUUAAAGAAUACUUUAAUGAAUUUUCUUGGGUGACUGUAUCCCAAAAGUUCAAGGGCAUUGAUCUACUAAAUGAUAUUCUAAAACAAAUAACAGGGGCCAGUUAUGAAUCAAGCAAGGCAACUGAUCAAAUCCAGGAGAAUGAGAUCGGAAAGAAGAUCCAUGACUUUCUAUUACAAAGAAGAUACUUGUUGGUUCUUGAUGAUGUGUGGGAGGCAGACACUUGGGAGCAAAUAAAUAGAGCAGCUAAAGUCUUUCCAGAUACAAAUAAUGGCUGUAGAGUACUGUUAACCACACGGAAAAAAGAUGUUGCGCAUCAUAUUGAAAUGCCAACUUAUGUUUGUGAUGUAAAGCUCAUAGAUGAAGAGAAAUCUUGGGAGCUUUUUAAAAGCAAAGCUUUACCAUCAUACAGAACGUACAUGAUAUGUAAUCCUGAUAAGUUUGAAGAAAUAGGGAGAAAACUUGCAAGGAAGUGUGCUGGCCUGCCACUUGCAGUUGCAGUUCUUGGGGGGUAUCUAUCGAAGAAUCUAAAUGUAGAGGAAUGGUCAGAUUUACUUUUGGGUUGGACAUCCAUAGAAGAAGUAGAGGUGGUUGGACACAUACUAGCUCGGAGUUAUAAUGACUUGUCAAAUAAGAGGCGCAAGUCAUGUUUCCUCUAUGUUGCUUCCUUCCCGGAGGAUUAUCCUAUAACUGUGGCAGAUCUGAUUGAACUUUGGAUAGCUGAAUGCUUCAUUCCACAUACAGUAAGGCAUACAAUGGAAGAAAUGGCACAGAGGUAUGUUACCGAUUUGGCUCAAAGAAACUUGGUGCAAUUUGAGUUUGGAGUAGCAGCUGAUUAUAUGUCAAUCCAAACAAUAAGGAUUCAUGAUGUUCUACGUGAUUGA